CUGCCCUAAAAUUUUGAGUUUCCCUCUCCACUCUCAAACCGCAUAAACUCAAUUCCACCACUAACGGCGUUUAUCUAGCUUUCGGUGAUUAUUUGUGAUUCAAUCGCCGGAUUAUUCAAUCGCCAGUUACAAGUGGUUCAAUAGAAGCUAUUCAAUAAAUUUAAAGCUUUGUGCAGGGUUUUGGUGAGUACCUGUUAUUGCUGAAAGGAUCUUGCAGUAGCUAGUAAGCGAAAAAAACAUGGCGAAUCGAGCAAAGAAGAAGAUGGUUCAAGUAACGGGUAAAAAAAGUUAUGCUCGAGUUCGUGAAGAGCUAAAGGCAUCUAAGGGACAAGAUCCAAGUCGAUUGGAAAUGUUUCGUGCAUAUUAUCCAAAGAUGGAACUACCAAAAAUUUGGAAGCUUCAAAUGCAAUUGCACAAAUGCAACAACUUAGUUCUAAUCUUCCCGAGUGCUCGAUCGAUAAGCCUGGACCAGAUGAUUUUUUUUCUAAGGUAAUGGGUAAUGAUCGAAAUGGUGAUGCGGUUAUGUAUGGUCUGGGUGUUCACGCUGCUGAUGUUUGGGGUGUAAUACCAAGUCGUUCGGUAUGUCAUAGAGAAAACAUCCAAUUGAAGUCUUAAUGUGAAGAACUUACUAGUACUGUGGUCCAGAUACGACCCCAAGUAUCAGAGAUGGAAGGGUCGAGGGGUGGUUCCAGUGUUCAACCUCUUGCAUCACAACAUUUCCCCAAUGUAACCAAUGGACAUCAACGUUUACGGGUCGGAGAUAAAGUUCUCCUCAAAAGCUUUCUAAACUCUACCGAGACUGUAGCAAGAGGAAGGGUCCAGAGCUUGGACCCAAAUGAUCUAGUUGGUGGUACAGAGAUUAGACCAGAAUGGUGUAAGGUAAACGUUCAAGUACCAAUAAAAAAAGAUGAAAACUUGGUAAGACCAUAUAGUUUAUUUUCUACAAUUCAAGAUUGUAUUGGUACAUCAAUUGCAUGGCCCUAUCCAUUCAUCUCGGUAUGUAUUUGUUAACCUUGUGAUACAAAUAAUUUUAAUAUCAUGAAACUUAAUGCUUAUACAUGGAUGGUUUAUUUGUAGGUAGUACAUGAGGAUUGAGGACGCUUGAUGACUCAAGAUUUUAUGCUUCUUAUUUCUUUAAUUACUUUUAAUUUCUUUGUUAAAUGUUAAGACUUUAUGUUAGAUAAUGUUAUAACUUAUUUAUGA